GAUGAAGAACGCAGUGAAAUGCGAUAAGUAAUGUGAAUUGCAGAAUUCAGUGAAUCAUCGAAUCUUUGAACGCACAUUGCGCCCGCUAGUAUUCUGGCGGGCAUGCCUGUCCGAGCGUCAUUUCAACCCUCAAGCCCCCGGGCUUGGUGUUGGGGAUCGGCGAGCCUCCGCGCCCGCCGUCCCCUAAAUCUAGUGGCGGUCUCGCUGUAGCUUCCUCUGCGUAGUAGCACACCUCGCACUGGGAAACAGCGCGGCCACGCCGUUAAACCCCCAACUUCUGAACGUUUGACCUCGGAUCAGGUAGGAAUACCCGCUGAACUUAAGCAUAUCAAUAAGGAAGA
rnacentral:misc_RNA from 1 species